CCUUGGGGUGCUUUGGGGACACAUCAGGGAGACUUUGGGGACAAAUUGGGGACAUUUUGGGGACAGGCUGGGGACUCUUUGGGGAUGUUUUGGGGACUCUUUGGGGACACCCUGGGGACACGUUGGGGACAGGUUGGGGACAGGUUGGGGACAUGCUGGGGAUGUUUUGGGGACACCUUGGGGAUAUUUUGGGGACUAGUUGGGGACAUGCUGGGGACACUUUGGGGACACGUUGGGGACAGGUUGGGGGCAAAUUGGGGACACUUUGGGGACGUAUCAGGGACAGGUUGGGGACAUUUUGGGGACUCUUUGGGGACACCUUGGGGCCAUUUUGGGCCCACCUUGAGGCCACUUUGGGGACAGUUUUGGGACACACUGGGGAUGUUUUGGGGACUCUUUGGGGACAUGUUGGGGACAUGCUGGGGACACCAUGGGGACAGGAUGGGGACACUUUGGGGACAUUUUGGGGACUCUUUCGGGAGACCUUGGGGCCAUUUUGGGACCACCUUGAGGCCACUUUGGGGACACCUUGGGGACAGUUUUGGGACAUGCUGGGGAUGCUUUGGGGCCUCUUUGGGGACACCUUGGGGACACGUUGGGGACAUUUGGGGACAUUUGGGGACANUUGGGGACAGUUGGGGACACGUUGGGGACAGUUGGGGCCAUUUGGGGCCAUUUUGGGGCCACGCGGGGGGGGGCACUCACAGAGGCGCAGCGCGGCGCUGACGGGCGCCACCCCCCCCAGCAGCCCCGGCAGUUGGUGGCGCCGAAUGUCCCCGAGCCACUCCGACACCGCAAAGCUCAGCACGCGCCACAGCCCCAGCAGCCUGGGGACACCGGGACAUUGGGGACAUUGGGGACAUCGGGGGGACACGGGGACAUUGGGGAUAUUGGGGGGACACAGGGACAUGGGGACAUUGGGGACAUGGGGGGGACAUGGGGACAUUGGGGACACGGGGACAUUGGGGACAUUGGGGA
rnacentral:lncRNA from 1 species